rnacentral:lncRNA from 1 species
GAUGGCUGUUGUGUAGCACGUUAAACAAUUGGUCCAAGGUCGUGUGGCUCGGAGACCAGCCAGGCUGAUCGAAGGACUCGGGGGUCAUAGGAGAGCAGCAGCACGCACUGAAGGGUCGAGGGGUCCGGGAUCCUGGGACAGCACCAGGGAGGCUGUCCCGGAGACACCUGCCGGAAGAGCCACGUGAGCAGAAAGUGAACUUGAGAUGGGCGAAGCUGCUGGGGGGCCGGGUCCUCUGUCAGAGGGUUGGCUGGCCGGGCUCACCCAGACCCACGUGGGUGGAGCCGCCCGGCUCAUCCCGGCCUCCCAGCCGCUGGUCCAGCUCCGAGUCAGCCUCUCACAGGCCGCGGUGCCUCCGUCCCUGAAGACUGAAUCCUGAACAUCUCACACCAGGAGGCACGGCCAGGAAAGCUGCUGUGCUCUAGCCCUCGGCACAUCCUGCCAGGUAGGUGGCCACGUCUUUGCGGACGGGGCGGGUCAGUCCUGUGUGCCGCCCAUUCCCUUUUCUGUCAACGUUUCCAAGACAAAGAAUAAAAAAAUAAAGUGACCCGUCUAUUCAGUCCUUAAAACUGUAGUGUGUGUGGAUGCAAGCAGGAUGUACCAUCGUUUGUUAUAAAGUGUGAAACUGAGAGAAAGAAGAAACUGUCUCCCCACCUUCCCACAUGCGGACACAUGUUUCUAACCUCAGCGGAGAAGCCAAAGGCACAGGCGUCUCCAAAGAAGGUGCCCGGUGAACACUUCAGCUCCUCGUAGAGGUCUGUCGUUGGUCAUCACGGGCUGCGAGCCGAGUUCCCAGGCCAAUAAAUUAUAAUCCCCACAGCAGGAUCACGUCUCCUCGCUGCCGUCACGGUUAUUAAUACAGUAACUACUGAGACUUCUGUUAGCUGCGGGCUUGACGAAGGAUGUGAGUUUGUCUUCACAGCAUCCCUGGAAGGCAGACAGGUGAGGGCUGUUCUGAACGCCGUUUUAGUGGCGAAGGAGCCGGAAGAGAGAGGCGCAGAGGCGUUUCCCAGUGUAAUGCAGCAAAUCUAAAGCAGACUGAAGUUCGGAACUCCACGAAUUUUGGUUGUUAGUAAACGCCUCGGCAGUGAUUCCCACUCACUGUUCAACCCGGACAGAACCCCUGUGGCUGAGAAGGAUUUUCUCCAGGGUCGGAGAAGAAAACUCUUAAUGGCCUUGGUGGUAGAUUGUAAGGACUUUAUGACUUAUUUCUUUAUUUGUACAGUCGAAUAAAAUUUGUUGACUCGACUGCGAGGGAGAAGGAGAAGGAUCCGCUGGAAACACCUCCUACAAAGGACAUUGCAGUGUGGGCCUAGCGAGGGUAUGGAAGUGUCCCCUGGUAGUCACAGCAGAUCUCUCUGAGUUCCUUUCUGUUCUUUUAGCAUUGGAGAGACUUAGCAUAGCAAGCCGGAACUGUUCCAGGCGAGGAACCACUGCCCAGGUUCGGCUGCAGCUCACUGACCUCCGACCCGUGCUGUUUCAGAGGCUUGCCGUGCGCGUCAGGGAGGCUAGGUCAGCCUCUAGUCAGGGAUCCAGUCCCCAGAUGUCUUUUGUGAUGCACGCUCCUGCCGCUCCUGCCGCAUGAGACAGUCCACCCUGUCUGCAUCGCCCUCGAGCUCCCUCAGACUCCUCCUGUCUCCAUGCAUUUAAUUAGGUUUAUUCCGCCCACUGGGAAAAAACGCUGCCUCCAGGUUGACCUGUACGUCCGAGUCCCUUCCGUCCUUCCAAUACUCUCUUUGAAAGAACUUCAGCGUCUCCUGAUUGCCAGCAUUGCUUUGUGAAAAUUAUUCACUUCUUCUCUUGCUCCUCGGAAGAUUUGUGAAAUCUUGCAACAUAAAAACUGUCACAUUCAGGUUUUUUUUUUUUGUUUGUUCGUUUUUAU